CCCCCGGACCCUGGGGUCGUAUUUGGUUUUAUGAUGUUGAGGGUUUUUGUGCCUGAGGCUCGAGGUUUUUGUUGUCGAUCUCCAUAAAAUAGUUAAAAUAUUUUUUAAACUUUUAUUUCUCUCAGAGACAAAACGAAAAUCUGACUCUGAAAACUUUAUUUGUCCCAGUGGGGCAGUAAAGAGGGCGGGGGUGGGGAGGUGGGGGGGCAACAGGCUGAGGGAAGAGAAGAUAAAAGAACAGAAAAGAAAAAAAACAAACAACGAAGAAAAAGAACAAGAACCAGAACUGUGUUAGAACGGGAGAAAACUGUAGUACUCGUAGUACUUGAAGUUGAAUACUUGAAGUAUUUCUAGAGGUGGAAAUAUAUGGACCACUGCUGGUGUUGGCAAACUUUAAGCAGUGGUUCUCAAACUGUGGGAUGCAUUCCACUAGUGGUACAUCUGCUCCCUCUGGUGGUAUGAAGGGCAACUUUUCUUUUUUUUUUUUUUAUCUCUGCUGGUACAAUAGUCCACAAAAGUACUGCAGUGUUGGUUCCAGCCAAUCAGGGUUCAGACCGUUCAGUCGUCCCAGUCAUUAAUCAAAUAACUCUGAAUAAUUGCCUCUAAUUCAGGAACAAUUUUGUUCAGUGAAGAGUGAAAAUAAUCAAAGUGAAGAAUCUGGACGACACGUCGUGUGGGUUUGAGACGUCCGCGGAGAACGGUCGCACGUAAAUGGGCUGCAGGACGGGAUUUAAACCCAUGAGCGCUCACUUGGUAUUAGGGCAUAUCCUGUUUAGUUUCCCUUGACCCCCCUGCCCCCCUUCCCCCCCCCCGACACACACACACACACACACACACACCCCGGGUCGUCAGAGAACCUGGUCUGCUUUGUGUUUUGGUCUCAGUGGUACCAGUGUAUGAAAGCCAAAGUCAAAUACACACACACAAACACACACCUGGUGAUGACCUCUGACCCCCCUCCGCCUCAGCUGCAGGAGGCCGACAACCCCUGGGGAGACUAGGCUGGUACUGCACAGUGUCUGUGAGGUCAAAUUUACAAAAUUACAUGAGAAACAAAUUUAAUCAUUUUUCUUCAUUUCUUUUAGAUGAGACAGUUGUUUCCAGACAUUUCCACAGCGCCCCCUUUUGGAGGUGAAACCCCGCCCACGUCAAGAGACCGCUGUGAUUGGCCGAUGCUCAGAUAUCGGAGGAUGUGAUUUACGUUGGUCUCAGUGGAAUAUCUGCUCCCUGUGGUUCUCCACCGUCUCUGGGGAGAAAGGAAACGCUGGGUCAGCAGAAAGUUGUGAGGGCUUUGGGGGGGAAGGUGGGGGGGCGGUAUAUGACCUGCCCCUCAGAUCAAAGAUGAGUCGGGGCCAUAACUCAGCUGAGGGCCAUGACGUACCGCUGUCUCCUCUGACACCUUCAAAACCAGCUCCACAUGGAGCGGAGGGAACGGCCCUCGUCGGCUCAGAUCCCGUCGGCUGUCCCGGUGCCCGAAACACACACAUACACACGCCCUUCUCGUGCGCGGCCUUCACAUCGCUCUCAACUCAAAAAAGUUGACGUGAGACGAACGGUGAGACUGAGAGGUGUUGAGAGACAGAAGACAUUCUGGACGGAAGAAAAAGAAACGGGAGAGUCAGGAUGAAAACAGCGGCCAAAUAUACAGUAUAUGGAUGAUUCACAGAAGUCUUUGAUCUGACAGUAGGGGGUGAGAGUGAGGGGGGGGGGGGGGGGGGGUAUGGAUGAGUGAGGGGAGUUAUGGAAGAGAUGAUUUGUUGGAGGCUGCGAUGAGUGGAAUUUUACUGUCCAUGUGUCUGCCAGCAUCCACUACCUCUGACUCCAACCCUCACCCCCCACACCCUCACAGCCUCACCCCCCACCCUCUCCCCUUGUGGGGUUCACCCCGAAUGAUCCUGGUAGGAGUGUCUGGACCAGUGGUCUGUGUGUGUAUGUGUGUAUGGAGCUUUAAACACAUGUACAGUUUACAUUAUCACCUGUUUCUUCUUUUUCUUUCAGCU